CAAGUAUUAAAGGUCCUGCCUGCCCAGUGAUAACACAUUCAACGGCCGCGGUAUCCUGACCGUGCAAAGGUAGCGUAAUCACUUGCCCCCUAAUUAGAGGCCCGUAUGAACGGCUAAAUGAGGGCCCGCCUGUCUCUUGUGACAUAAUAAUGAAACUGAUCUCCUAGUACAAAAGCUAGAAUAUACACAUAAGACGAGAAGACCCUGUGGAGCUUUCAAACACCGUUGCUACACCAACAUGCACUAGCAACACUUUUUAGUUGGGGCAACUACGGAGAAAACAAAACCUCCAUGCUAACAACUAACACUAAACCUAGGCCCACAAGCUAAAACCAAAAAGACCCAGCACAGCUGACCACCGGACCAAGUUACCCCAGGGAUAACAGCGCCAUCCUCUUCCAGAGCCCCUAUCGCAAAGAGGGCUUACGACCUCGAUGUUGGAUCAGGACACCCCAGUGGCGAAGCCGCUACUAAAGGCCCGUUUGUUCAACGGUUAAU
rnacentral:rRNA from 1 species